rnacentral:misc_RNA from 1 species
UCCGGCUUAACGCCGGCAGUCCCCCUAGAGUGCCCAACUGAAUGGUGGCAACUAAGGGCAAGGGUUGCGCUCGUUGCGGGACUUAACCCAACACCUCACGGCACGAGCUGACGACAGCCAUGCAGCACCUGUGUCCAGGCUCCCUUUCGGGCACCCCUCCAUCUCUGGUGGGUUCCUGGCAUGUCAAGGGUAGGUAAGGUUUUUCGCGUUGCAUCGAAUUAAUCCACAUAAUCCACCGCUUGUGCGGGUCCCCGUCAAUUCCUUUGAGUUUUAGCCUUGCGGCCGUAGUCCCCAGGCGGGGUGCUUAACGCGUUAGCUACGGCACAGAAUCCGUUGACCAGAUCCCACACCUGGCACCCAUCGUUUACGGCGUGGACUAC